GUCCCUGUUGCGCAAUGGAUAGCGCGUUGGACUUCUAAUCGAAAGGUAGUGGGUUCGAAUUCCACCUGGGAUU
rnacentral:tRNA from 1 species